GUCUAUGGCCAUGCUACCCUGAACAAGCCUUAUCCUAUUUGAUUUUGGAAGCUAAGCAGGGUUGGGCCUGGUUAGUACUUGGAUGGGGGAGACCACCUUGGAAGACCAGGUGCUGUAGUGU
rnacentral:rRNA from 1 species